rnacentral:rRNA from 1 species
GACGGAGGGUGGUAGCGUUGUUCGGAAUCACUGGGCGUAAAGGGCGCGUAGGCGGCCCAUGCCGUCGGCUCGUGAACGCCCGGGGCUCAACCCCGGAGGUGCGGCCGAGACCCAUGGGCUGGAGGCCGGAAGAGGAGGGUGGAAUACCCAGUGUAGAGGUGAAAUUCGUAGAUAUUGGGUGGAACACCGGUGGCGAAAGCGGCUCUCUGGUCCGGUUCUGACGCUGAGGCGCGAAAGCGUGGGGAGCAAACAGG